AAAAUGUUUUAGUUUGUUAUUUUUUGUUAAAGAUAUUUAAAAUUUGAUUUUUGAACUGGAUUAGUACCCAGGUAAUCAAAAUUUAUUAAUUCGGGAGUAAAGUUUUGUUUAAACCGAAAAAAUAUUGACUGACUUUAGAUUUUUCUUUGGAACAUGUGUUUGUGGAUAGUCCUCCUUUUUUGUCUAUUUUAUUUGCCCAUGUAUGAUUGUUUAGUUUUUACAUUUUUUGUGAUGCUCUAUCAUUUGUUGUUAUAAAACAGAUAUAUAUUUGGUUUAUAAAUUGAUUUUUCAUGUGUUACUAUUAUUAAUUUUUUUUUGGAUUAUUAUUU
rnacentral:rRNA from 1 species